AGAAAUCGUUAAGGGCGUAUGGCGGAUGCCUAGGCUUUCAGAGGCGAAGAAGGACGUGGUAAGCUGCGAAAAGCUGCGGGGAUUGGCACACACGAAUUGAUCCGCAGAUGUCCGAAUGGGGCAACCCGGCAUAUUGAAGAUAUGUCACCCAGCAAUGGGAGCAAACCCGGAGAACUGAAACAUCUAAGUACCCGGAGGAAAAGAAAUCGAAGAGAUUCCGUAAGUAGUGGCGAGCGAAAGCGGAUUAGCCCAAAAGCUUUUAUAUGUUUAAUAGAACACACUGGAAAGUGUGGCCAAAGAGGGUGAUAGCCCCGUAUAUGAAAGGCAUACAUAAGUGAUAAAUGAGUAGGGCGGGACACGUGAAAUCCUGUCUGAAUAUG
rnacentral:rRNA from 1 species